GGGGAUUUAGCUCAGCGGCAUAAGCACCUGCCUUGUAAGCAGGGGGUCGUGAGUUCAAUCCCCG
rfam:Cavia porcellus supercont2_10 genomic scaffold, whole genome shotgun sequence.